rnacentral:rRNA from 1 species
UCUGAGGAAAAGAAACCAACAGGGAUUGCCUUAGUAGCGGCGAGUGAAGCGGCAAAAGCUCAAAUUUGAAAUCUGGCUCUUUCAGAGUCCGAGUUGUAAUUUGAAGAAGGUAUCUUUGGGUCUGGCUCUUGUCUAUGUUUCUUGGAACAGAACGUCACAGAGGGUGAGAAUCCCGUGCGAUGAGAUGAUCCAGGCCUAUGUAAAGUUCCUUCGAAGAGUCGAGUUGUUUGGGAAUGCAGCUCUAAGUGGGUGGUAAAUUCCAUCUAAAGCUAAAUAUUGGCGAGAGACCGAUAGCGAACAAGUACAGUGAUGGAAAGAUGAAAAGAACUUUGAAAAGAGAGUGAAAAAGUACGUGAAAUUGUUGAAAGGGAAGGGCUUGAGAUCAGACUUGGUAUUUUGUAUGUUACUUCUUCGGGGGUGGCCUCUACAGUUUAUCGGGCCAGCAUCAGUUUGGGCGGUAGGAGAAUUGCGUUGGAAUGUGGCACGGCUUCGGUUGUGUGUUAUAGCCUUCGUCGAUACUGCCAGCCUAGACUGAGGACUGCGGUUUAUACCUAGGAUGUUGGCAUAAUGAUCUUAAGUCGCCCGUCUNA